GGGGGGGGGGGGGGGGGGGCGGGGGGGGGGGGGGGGGGGCGGGGGGGCGCGUUGCUGGGUGGUGGGUGUGGGUGGGUGGCGAACGGGUGGGUAACACGUGAGUAACCUGCCCCCGUCUUCUGGAUAACCGCAUGACAGUGUGGCUAAUACGGGCUAUUCUUGGUCUGUCGCAUUAUGGGUCUGGGGACGAUCUUGUUUCGGUUGGGGAUGGGCUCGCGGCCUAUCAGCUUGUUGGUGGGGUGAUGUCCUACCCAGGCGGUUACGGGUAGCCGGCCUGAGAGGGUGGACGGUAACACUGGGAAUGAGACACGGCCGAGACUCCGACGGGAGGCAGCAGGGGGGAAUAGUGCACAAUGGGCGAAAGCCUGAUGCAGCGACGCCGCGUGAGGGAUGGAGGCCUUCGGGUUGUGAACCUCUUUCGACAGUGAAGCAGGCCUGCCUCGUUUGUGGGUGGGUUGACGGUAGCUGGAGAAGAAGCGCCGGCUAACUACGUG
rnacentral:rRNA from 1 species